UACGUAGGUGACAAGCGUUGUCCGGAUUUACUGGGCGUAAAGAGCGCGCAGGCGGUCGUUCAAGUCGAGUGUGAAAGCCCCCGGCUCAACUGGGGAGGGUCACUCGAUACUGAUCGACUCGAAGGCAGGAGAGGGAAGUGGAAUUCCCGGUGUAGUGGUGAAAUGCGUAGAUAUCGGGAGGAACACCAGUGGCGAAGGCGACUUCCUGGCCUGUUCUUGACGCUGAGGCGCGAAGGCGUGGGGAGCGAACGGG
rnacentral:rRNA from 1 species